AUCCAGCAGAGCUUCCCAUCUGCCCCUUCUUGAUAAAACUCCAAAGCACACAGAGCAGAGAGGCAGGAGAACGGCUUUCCAGGGCAGCCCUAGGAUCCCUCUCUGUGUGAGGACAGGGAGCUGGGCGGGAAAUAGUCGCCCAGGGCCCCUUAGAAGAUGCCCAAUAGGGCUGGAAAGACAAUCGCUUUUUGUCUUAAAUACUUGAAAAGUUAAAAGAACCAAAAUGUAAGCCCGACAGUGCCCUUGACUUACAUUUAAGCAAUUCUGGAUGCUAUUGAGCAACCACCAAACUGCUGGCUUAGAUUCAAUAUCUGAGGGCAGAAAUCGAGUGAUGCCAGCCGUGAACUUGUAAACCUCUGUCAUGUACUCAUAGCCAGUUAAUUAAAACCAAAAGAGAGCCCCCUGCCCCAACAGAGUGCACCUCUCCACUUAUAUCUAAGCCCCCCAAGAACCAACCAGCCGGCUGCAUUUGUUCAGACUCAAAAGGCUGUUUAUCUCUGACACAACCCCAUGUGGUCCAAGCUCUUGGGAAAUAGAGUCCACUCAGCUCUUGGCUGAUACCACACGUGACGCAGAUUCUUCUGGGUUUCUGUAGAGCUUGACUCCAAAUUAUACACCCUCCUCUGAGAUCCUCAGACACUAACAAGAGGAACAUUCUGAACAUCUGGAAUGAGCAGGACCACAGUUAAUUUGCUCAAAUUGGGAGCAAGUAAGGGCCAUGUGUUGCAAUUGCUUGAUGGGAGAUGUGUCUCUGAAGUCUUGUUAAAUUUACAGGUAUCUUCUCUUUCCUAUUCUUACUCUCUCUCUUUCUAAUAAACCUUUUUUUUUAAA